GUGGGUAGUUUGACUGGGGCGGUCUCCUCCUAAAGAGUAACGGAGGAGCACGAAGGUUGGCUAAUCCUGGUCGGACAUCAGGAGGUUAGUGCAAUGGCAUAAGCCAGCUUGACUGCGAGCGUGACGGCGCGAGCAGGUGCGAAAGCAGGUCAUAGUGAUCCGGUGGUUCUGAAUGGAAGGGCCAUCGCUCAACGGAUAAAAGGUACUCCGGGGAUAACAGGCUGAUACCGCCCAAGAGUUCAUAUCGACGGCGGUGUUUGGCACCUCGAUGUCGGCUCAUCACAUCCUGGGGCUGAAGUAGGUCCCAAGGGUAUGGCUGUUCGCCAUUUAAAGUGGUACGCGAGCUGGGUUUAGAACGUCGUGAGACAGUUCGGUCCCUAUCUGCCGUGGGCGCUGGAGAACUGAGGGGGGCUGCUCCUAGUACGAGAGGACCGGAGUGGACGCAUCACUGGUGUUCGGGUUGUCAUGCCAAUGGCACUGCCCGGUAGCUAAAUGCGGAAGAGAUAAGUGCUGAAAGCAUCUAAGUACGAAACUUGCCCCGAGAUGAGUUCUCCCUGAGACUUUAGGUCUCCUGAAGGAACGUUGAAGACGACGACGUUGAUAGGCCGGGUGUGUAAGC
rnacentral:rRNA from 1 species